rnacentral:piRNA from 1 species
UAGGCCAAGGACUCCUUUCACACCACA